UACGGGGGGGGUAAGCGUUGUUCGGAAUUACUGGGCGUAAAGGGCUCGUAGGCGGCCAACUAAGUCGGACGUGAAAUCCCUCAGCUUAACUGGGGAACUGCGUCCGAUACUGGAUGGCUUGGAUUUGGGAGAGGGAUGCGGAAUUCCAGGUGUAGCGGUGAAAUGCGUAGAUAUCUGGAGGAACACCGGUGGCGAAGGCGGCAUCCUGGACCAAUAUUGACGCUGAGGCGCGAAAGCCAGGGGAGCAAACGGG
rnacentral:rRNA from 1 species